AACGAACGCUGGCGGCAUGCCUAACACAUGCAAGUCGAACGAAACCUUCUGGUCCAGUGGCGCAUGGGGGCGUAACCGGUUGGAUCAUGCGCUAAUGUUCGGCAUACCUCUCCGAAAGGGGUGCUAACACCGGAUAAUAUCUUCGGACCAAAGAUAUAUCGCCUUUGGAGGGGCAGGAGUUGGAUUAGGUUGUUGGUAGGGUUAAAGCCUACUAAGGCGAGGAUCCGUAGCUGGUCUGUGAGGAGGAUCAGCCACACUGGGACUCGGACACGGCCCCGACUCCUACGGGAGGCAGGAGUGGGGGAUAUUGGAGAAGGGGCGGAAUCCUGAACCAGCGAUGCCGCGUGAGUGAUGAAGGCCUUAGGGUUGUAAAGCUCUUUUAACCGGGAUGAUAAUGACAGUACCGGGUAAAUAAGCUCCGGCUAACUACGUG
rnacentral:rRNA from 1 species